rnacentral:rRNA from 1 species
GCCGCGUGAAUGAUGAAGGCCUUAGGGUUGUAAAAUUCUUUCGCCAAGGAUGAUAAUGACAGUACUUGGUAAAGAAGCCCCGGCUAACUUCGUGCCAGCAGCCGCGGUAAUACGAAGGGUGCAAGCGUUAUUCGGAUUUACUGGGCGUAAAGCGCGCGCAGGCGGAUUAGUAAGUCAGAUGUGAAAUCUCGGGGCUCAACCCCGAAACUGCGUCUGAAACUACUAAUCUAGAGUUAUGGAGGGGGAAGUGGAAUUUCGCAUGUAGGGGUAAAAUCCGUAGAGAUGCGAAGGAACACCAGAGGCGAAGGCGACUUCCUGGCCAUUAACUGACGCUGAGGCGCGAAAGCGUGGGGAGCAAACAGGAUUAGAUACCCUGG